CCCAGACUCCUACGGGAGGCAGCAGUGGGGGAUAUUGCACAAUGGGGGGAACCCUGAUGCAGCGACGCCGCGUGGGUGAAGGAGCGUUUCGGCGCGUAAAGCCCUAUCGGCAGGGAAGAAGGAGGACGGUACCUGACUAAGAAGCCCCGGCUAACUACGUGCCAGCAGCCGCGGUAAUACGUAGGGGGCAAGCGUUAUCCGGAUUUACUGGGUGUAAAGGGGGCGCAGACGGCAGCGCAAGCCAGGAGUGAAAGCCUGGGGCGCAACCCCGGGACUGCUCUUGGAACUGCGCGGCUGGAGUGCAGGAGGGGCAGGCGGAAUUCCUGGUGUAGCGGUGAAAUGCGUAGAUAUCAGGAGGAACACCGGUGGCGAAGGCGGCCUGCUGGACUGCGACUGACGUUGAGGCCCGAAAGCGUGGGGAGCAAACAGGAUUAGAUACCCCAGUAA
rnacentral:rRNA from 1 species